rnacentral:rRNA from 1 species
CGGGGUGAGUAAUGUCUGGGAAACUGCCUGAUGGAGGGGGAUAACUGCUGGAAACGGUAGCUAAUACCGCAUAACGUCGCAAGACCAAAGAGGGGGACCUUCGGGCCUCUUGCCAUCGGAUGUGCCCAGAUGGGAUUAGCUAGUAGGUGGGGUAACGGCUCACCUAGGCGACGAUCCCUAGCUGGUCUGAGAGGAUGGCCAGCCGCACUGGAACUGAGACACGGUCCAG